UAGUGGCAGACGGGUGAGUAACGCGUGGGAACGUACCUUUCACUACGGAAUAGCUCUUGGAAACGAGUGGUAAUACCGUAUACGCCCUUCGGGGGAAAGAUUUAUCGGUGAAAGAUCGGCCCGCGUUAGAUUAGCUAGUUGGUAGGGUAAUGGCCUACCAAGGCGACGAUCUAUAGCUGGUCUGAGAGGAUGAUCAGCCACACUGGGACUGAGACACGGCCCAGACUCCUACGGGAGGCAGCAGUGGGGAAUCUUGCACAAUGGGCGAAAGCCUGAUGCAGCCAUGCCGCGUGAAUGAUGAAGGCCUUAGGGUUGUAAAAUUCUUUCGCUAGGGAUGAUAAUGACAGUACCUAGUAAAGAAGCCCCGGCUAACUUCGUGCCAGCAGCCGCGGUAAUACGAAGGGGGCUAGCGUUGUUCGGAAUUACUGGGCGUAAAGCGCACGUAGGCGGACUUUUAAGUCAGAUGUGAAAUCCCGGGGCUCAACCUCGGAACUGCAU
rnacentral:rRNA from 1 species